UUUUAUAUGUUAAAGUAGACUUACAGGACCCUGGGGGGUCGGGAUAAGAUUGUCUUUUGCCCUGAGCAAAGUGUCCUCAUGGAGGCAGCCAGCUCCUAUAGGAAUGCCACUCUGCCUGUUUCAAGGACUUGUCGCUGGGCUGUAGGCAGUAAGGGAACUUACUUUUUUCUUUUGACUUUGUUUCCCAUACCACAAACACUCAAGUUGGGGAGAUCCGCUGGGCCAGCCUGAAGGGUCCUGACCGGGGCCCAGGGCAGGGACAGCAGGGAAAGGAUGAAGCUGGCUUGUCCCCAGACCAUCACCGGGGACUGGGAUACGGCCCUAAGGCUGGUGACAGAGGGAGCCUCCCAAGGCCACCCCCCUUGUGCAGGAGGCCCCCACCAGGGGCUACGCAACACCACUGGAGGGCCCAGAACUCGGUGGGACGCGGGGUCUGGCUGAUCACUGCCUAGUUGAGACCAGGCCAGGACCUUUUAAAGCCAAAUAGGCAGUAGUGUCUUUCCAGGUACGCUCGGGUGGGGAGCUCCCCAGGCAUUGCUGUAAGGGAGGCCCCUGCCCUCUGUGUCUCCAUCAACCGUCAACAAAUAUCAGCCUCCAGGUCCCCAGCCCCCGUGGGCCUCUCGGACCCCAGCUUCUCCAUCGGCCACUGCCCUGUGUCCUUAACUUGGAGAAAUUAAAAGACAAAAAAGAAAGUUUUCACUCUGAAGAUCCUUAACUUGUCCUGGGACAGCCAUCAUCUAGCCGCCUCUGCAGACUCAGCACCCCAAGCCAGGUUCCUGUUAGCUCAGGUCCCGAGAGUGGCCCUAUGGAUACCUCUUCUGCACUGGUGAGGGCAGCGGACACCAUUCCUUCCCAGUUCGGGACGCCGCCUUCCUGGGCCAGGGACCCAACCGGGACCUGCCUAACCACGCUCGCACUUGGGUCCAGACCCUGGACCGGACGGGAGACAUCCAGCAGCAAAUGUGCGCCCCCCCCCCCCAAACUCAAAGGGCCCAUAACCCAUAGCCCAAGCCUCAGCAGUCCCGGCCGGGAGAAAACUCCCCCAAGAGCACGUAGGAAAGGUUCACGGACACCCUGGGAGAGGCACAACACCCGCUGCUCCUGCCUGCUGGCCUUCCUACUCCCCUACCCAGCUGGGGGAUGCCACCUUCCUAGGGCACCGACCAAGCUUCCGUCAGCAGCGGUGACCAGAGGCCUCCAAAGGACUCACCAGUGCCGGCCUUCCUUCUCUCUGGGCUCAGCCAGGGACUUCGGGAACCAAGGCUGGAAAACUAAAUGUGCCUGACUGCGGGAGGGCUGGGUCACUUGCGUGGACGCCACUCCGUCCUGGAGCAUCUGGGCCUCUGUGCUGUGUGGACUCUCCCACCGCUUCACCGGUCAUUCCUUCAGGGGUCACAGCAGGGCCUUCUGGACCAACCCGGCCAGCGUGGGGACCCUGGAGCCGGCAGGCCUGUGGUGGGGUGCUGGAUGCCGGGGCCAGGCACAGCUGCAGUGGGGACCCGGGCCCUUUGCAGGGUGAGAAGGCACCAGCUCACAGGGAGUGCCCAUGUGGGGGGCCAUUUCGCCAGGGCUGCACCCGCCUCCCUCUACCCACUGGGCCCUCCUCAGGACAGCGUCUGCCCAAUCAGAGGUGGGGCGAACUAGGACAGGGAAAGAAAAAGCAGUCUGUGCUGGGGUUGGGGGUGGGGUAGGGGAGAGGAAGCUGACCCAGGAA